GACAGGGCUUUCCAUAGCCAUGGCCCAGCAGUGGAGCCUCCAAAGGCUCGCAGGCCGCCAUCCGCAGGACAGCUAUGAGGACAGCACCCAGUCCAGCAUCUUCACCUACACCAACAGCAACUCCACCAGAGACCCAUUCGAAGGCCCGAAUUACCACAUCGCUCCCAGAUGGGUAUACCACCUCACCAGUGUCUGGAUGAUCUUUGUGGUCAUUGCAUCUGUCUUCACAAAUGGGCUUGUGCUGGCGGCCACCAUGAAGUUCAAGAAGCUGCGCCACCCGCUGAACUGGAUCCUGGUGAACCUGGCGGUCGCUGACCUAGCAGAGACUGUCAUUGCCAGCACUAUCAGCGUUGUGAACCAGGUCUCUGGCUACUUCGUGCUGGGCCACCCUAUGUGUGUCCUGGAGGGCUACACCGUCUCCCUGUGUGGGAUCACAGGUCUCUGGUCUCUGGCCAUCAUUUCCUGGGAGAGGUGGCUGGUGGUGUGCAAGCCCUUUGGCAAUGUGAGAUUUGAUGCCAAGCUGGCCAUCAUUGGCAUUGCCUUCUCCUGGGUCUGGUCUGCUGUGUGGACAGCCCCGCCCAUCUUUGGUUGGAGCAGGUGGCAAAGCAGCAGAAAGAGUCUGAAUCCACCCAGAAGGCAGAGAAGGAAGUGACGCGCAUGGUGGUGGUGAUGAUCUUGGCAUUCUGCUUCUGCUGGGGACC
rnacentral:sRNA from 1 species